UACGUAGGGUGCGAGCGUUAAUCGGAAUUACUGGGCGUAAAGCGUGCGCAGGCGGUUCGUUAUGUCCGUUGUGAAAGCCCCGGGCUCAACCUGGGAAUGGCAAUGGAAACUGGCGGGCUAGAGUGUGGCAGAGGGGGGUGGAAUUCCGCGUGUAGCAGUGAAAUGCGUAGAGAUGUGGAGGAAUACCGAUGGCGAAGGCAGCCUCCUGGGCCAACACUGACGCUCAUGCACGAAAGCGUGGGGAGCAAACAGG
rnacentral:rRNA from 1 species